GUAUGGUGCAAGCGUUAUCCGGAUUUACUGGGUGUAAAGGGAGCGUAGACGGAGCAGCAAGUCUGGAGUGAAAACCCGGGGCUCAACCCCGGGACUGCUUUGGAAACUGUUGUUCUAGAGUGCUGGAGAGGUAAGUGGAAUUCCUAGUGUAGCGGUGAAAUGCGUAGAUAUUAGGAGGAACACCAGUGGCGAAGGCGGCUUACUGGACAGUAACUGACGUUGAGGCUCGAAAGCGUGGGGAGCAAACAGGAUUAGAUACCCUGGUAGUCCACGCCGUAAACGAUGACUGCUAGGUGUCGGGUGGCAAAGCCAUUCGGUGCCGCAGCUAACGCAAUAAGCAGUCCACCUGGGGAGUACGUUCGCAAGAAUG
rnacentral:rRNA from 1 species